rnacentral:rRNA from 1 species
AGUGAACGCUGGCGGUAGGCCUAACACAUGCAAGUCGAACGGCAGCACAGUAAGAGCUUGCUCUUACGGGUGGCGAGUGGCGGACGGGUGAGGAAUACAUCGGAAUCUACUUUUUCGUGGGGGAGAACGUAGGGAAACUUACGCUAAUACCGCAUACGACCUACGGGUGAAAGCAGGGGAUCUUCGGACCUUGCGCGAUUGAAUGAGCCGAUGUCGGAUUAGCUAGUUGGCGGGGUAAAGGCCCACCAAGGCGACGAUCCGUAGCUGGUCUGAGAGGAUGAUCAGCCACACUGGAACUGAGACACGGUCCAGACUCCUACGGGAGGCAGCAGUGGGGAAUAUUGGACAAUGGGCGCAAGCCUGAUCCAGCCAUACCGCGUGGGUGAAGAAGGCCUUCGGGUUGUAAAGCCCUUUUGUUGGGAAAGAAAAGCAGCAGGUUAAUACCCCGCUGUUCUGACGUUACCCAAAGAAUAAGCACCGGCUAACUUCGUG